rnacentral:lncRNA from 1 species
CCUCUGUUCUGCCCAACUGGCCUGUAGACUAUCAAGUCUUUGAACUGUUUAUCAGACCUUUAGAUUAUCAGGUCUUGCAUUCUAUUCUUCUAACAAUUUAUUCUAAUUACUUGUCUGAAUGGCUACCCAUCGUAUCUUUAAAAAAUCAGACAUUGAAACUGUAUAGCACCACUUCUGAUUACUUUGCUGAUUGCUUUCAUGAACUACCAUUUAUGGAUUUCUUCAAAAAGAGAGAAAAAUCUUAAUAAAAUAUAUUGAGGUAGCUAUACCAGUUCAUUAGAUGAGGAAAUAAUGUUCUCUUAAUAUCCAUAACUGACUACAUGUAUAUAAUCUUCCAUGGU